rnacentral:rRNA from 1 species
CGUAGGUGAACCUGCGGAGGGAUCAUUACCGAGUUUACAACUCCCAAACCCAAUGUGAACGUUACCAAACUGUUGCCUCGGCGGGAUCUCUGCCCCGGUUGCGUCGCAGCCCCGGACCAAGGCGCCCGCCGGAGGACCAACCAAAACUCUUAUUGUAUACCCCCUCGCGGGUUUUUUACUAUCUGAGCCAUCUCGGCGCCCCUCGUGGGCGUUUCGAAAAUGAAUCAAAACUUUCAACAACGGAUCUCUUGGUUCUGGCAUCGAUGAAGAACGCAGCGAAAUGCGAUAAGUAAUGUGAAUUGCAGAAUUCAGUGAAUCAUCGAAUCUUUGAACGCACAUUGCGCCCGCCAGUAUUCUGGCGGGCAUGCCUGUCCGAGCGUCAUUUCAACCCUCGAACCCCUCCGGGGGGUCGGCGUUGGGGAUCGGCCCUUUACGGGGCCGGCCCCGAAAUACAGUGGCGGUCUCGCCGCAGCCUCUCCUGCGCAGUAGUUUGCACACUCGCAUCGGGAGCGCAGGCGCGUCCACAGCCGUUAAACACCCCAAACUUCUGAAAUGUUGACCUCGGAUCAAUGUACGUAAUACCCGCUGAACUUAAGCAUAUCAAUAAGCGGAGGAA